rnacentral:rRNA from 1 species
UACGUAGGGGGCAAGCGUUGUCCGGAAUCAUUGGGCGUAAAGCGCGCGUAGGCGGCCCGGUAAGUCCGUUGUGAAAGUCAAAGGCUCAACCUUUGAACGCCGAUGGAUACUGCCGGGCUAGAGUCCGGAAGAGGCGAGUGGAAUUCCUGGUGUAGCGGUGAAAUGCGCAGAUAUCAGGAGGAACACCCGUGGCGAAAGCGGCUCUCUGGGACGGUACUGACGCUGAGACGCGAAAGCGUGGGGAGCAAACAGG